GACGAACGCUGGCGGCGUGCCUAAUACAUGCAAGUCGAACGCAGGGGGGACGGGUGAGUAACACGUGGGUAACCUCCCAUCAGAGGGGAUAACACUUGGAUAAAGGUGCUAAACCGAUACUGAUGGAUGGACCCGCGGUGCAUUAGCUAGUUGGUGGGGUAAAGGCUCACCAAGGCGACGAUGCAUAGCCGGGCUGAGAGGAGGAUCGGCCACACUGGAACUGAGACACGGCCCAGACUCCUACGGGAGGCAGCAGUAGGGAAUCUUCGGCAAUGGGCGAAAGUCUGACCGAGCAAUGCCGCGUGUGUGAAGAAGGUCUUCGGGUCGUAAAGCUCUUUUGUUGGGGAAGCGGUAUCUAACCAGAAAGCCCCGGCUAACUCCGGGCCAGCAGCCGCGGUAAUAC
rnacentral:rRNA from 1 species